AGGCGACUGCGGAGGACAUUAUCGAGUAUACAAAGAGGUUGCAGCUGGCCCUUCCGGGGGCAAGUGCUCGCCUCUUACAACUCUAUCGACCCCUGUGAACCAGCUGUAGGAUGGGUUUGGGUCGCGCCCUAGCGGGUGCUUCCCGGCCUUUCCUAUGUCGUUUUAUAAACACUUUGUAUGAGAAUGUUGUCGCGUAUAACGCAUCAAUAUAACUUUCAGCAACGGAUCUCUUGGCUCUCGCAUCGAUGAAGAACGCAGCGAAAUGCGAUAAGUAAUGUGAAUUGCAGAAUUCAGUGAAUCAUCGAAUCUUUGAACGCACCUUGCGCCCCUUGGUAUUCCGAGGGGCAUGCCCGUUUGAGUGUCAUUGUAUUCUCAAAGCUUCGACCUUUGCCGGUCGUGGCUUUGGACUUGGAGGUCUGCGGGAAGCACGUUGUGCGGUCCGCUCCUCUCGAAUGCAUUAGCUGGGACCCUUUUUGCCGGAACGGCUACGGUGUGAUAAUUAUCUACGCUGUGGGCCUCGAAGGCGACGUCCUGCUCUCCAACCGUCUCUCGAGACAUCAUCUUGACAUCUGACCUCAAAUCGGGUAGGACUACCCGCUGAACUUAAGCAUAU
rnacentral:rRNA from 1 species